rnacentral:rRNA from 1 species
UACCAGCACUCCGAGUGGUCGGGACGUUUAUUGGGCCUAAAGCAUCCGUAGCCGGUUCUACAAGUCUUCCGUUAAAUCCAACUGCUUAACAGGUGGGCUGCGGAAGAUACUAUAGAGCUAGGAGGCGGGAGAGGCAAGCGGUACUCGAUGGGUAGGGGUAAAAUCCGUUGAUCCAUUGAAGACCACCAGUGGCGAAGGCGGCUUGCCAGAACGCGCUCGACGGUGAGGGAUGAAAGCUGGGGGAGCAAACCGG